UACGUAGGCAGCGAGCGUUGUUCGGAAUUACUGGGCGUAAAGAGUGUGUAGGCGGUGUUCCCAGUCUGUUGUGAAAUCUCCCGGCUUAACCUGGGAACUGCAUUUGUGACUGCACGGCUGGAGUGCGGCAGAGGGGGAUGGAAUUCCGCGUGUAGCAGUGAAAUGCGUAGAUAUGCGGAGGAACACCGAUGGCGAAGGCAAUCCCCUGGGCCUGCACUGACGCUCAUGCACGAAAGCGUGGGGAGCAAACAGG
rnacentral:rRNA from 1 species